GUUGUCCUUUUCCAUCUUAGAUAUGACACACCAGUGGACAGUGGGUGAUGUAUGCAGCUGGUUGCAGAAGAAUGGACUUAAUGCUUGAUUCUAAAAUCUACCAUAAAAAAAGCACAAAAGUUUCAUUUAUACAGCGAUGUUGAUUAUUAAUACUGGCUGUGUUUAAUCAUGUGACCUAAUUGUGUCAAAGGUGAUUCAGUCAUAAGUGUCCCAUUUUUCAGUGGAUCAACACCCUUGCCAGUGCCCGAAUUCAUGUACAUGAUAUACUGAUUGAGGUGCACACUUGGACUAGGUUGAAGCUAAACUCUGCAGGACUGUGGCCCUCCAGGAGCAGGACUGGUGACCGCUGGUUUAAAGUUUUCAUAAAAUGAAGUUGAUGGCCCAAUGCUUAUGAAAUUCACAGAACGAAUGGGUGAGCGGAUCUUCCCUAAAAUUAAGGACCAGGUGCAGUUCAUGACUGAACUAGAUGCACUAAAAGAAAGAGAGAACGCUUCACUGAUGAGGGAGCAAAUGAUACUUUAAAAGCGAGUGUGGGAAGUGGUCCAGCCAGUGUCCAACUUCACUUUCCACCAGUGCAUGACUGCACUGAAGAAUCAAGACCAUCCGCUGAAGUCUCAUCAAAGGAAUAAGAUGAAAAAUCCAUUGGUGCAGGCUCUCUAUGUUUGUCUUAGUUUGCAAACUAUGUAUGUUUUCUUUUGUAGAGAUAAAUCAAAUUUUUCUUUCUCAAAUCUUCCCUAAAACAAAUUAACACUUCACAUCCUCCAAAUUUCAGAGGUGAUGGAUUGUGUGCUAAUAUGAAUAUAGAAUGGAAUAGGUUAAAAUAUUUGAGGAUCUGAUAUUGCUUAUAAAUGAAAUGUCGUUAAAAUUAGUUCCACUAAUAUCCAUGGCAGGUAUCUAAGUCACAGACAUGUGGACCUUCUGAAGAUGCUCCUCAUCCAGUACCCAUUCCUGCAUGAAAAGUAUGGAACUGGAUAUGCCAAAUGGUCAAUGCAGCUGUCCUGCUCCUGCCCAGAUUUUUUUUAAAGAGCACCAAGAUGAACUUUUCACUAUUGAUAAGAUAAGUUUAUUAACUUAUCCUCAUCAUUGUUAUCUCAAAUAAUACUAAAUCAUCAUCUACUAGUCCAUCACCAUACCCUACUUUGAUUUGAGAUGUUGUUUAUGAUGCUAGGUCUGACAGGUCUUUUUUUCAUUGUCAGGAUCUAGUGACUCCAACACCCAUGCUGGUGUUAGGUAGCUGUGAUGGGAGUCCACUUGAUGUCACAAAUGUGACAAUCAAAAUGGAUGGAAAUGUCAUGGACUAUGACGAUGGAGUUGACAUUUCACUUGCAAAGGGUCUGGCAUUUUCAUUGUUUCACGUGUUCCAAAUUGAGUAUCCCAAAAAUGUACGGAAAACUAUGUUGUUCCUUGAGGCAUUUGUCUUCAAAAUGAAAAUUAGAGUAUCAGUUGCUGUCCAGAGAGUUUACAAUUCUUUGUAAGCUGAAUGUAUAAGAAAAACUGGUUUUGGUUUGAGGUAAUUGUCUUCAAAAUUAAAAUGUUUUUUAUUUAUUUAUUUUUUUAAAUUGCUGUCCAGAGAGUUUACAGUUCUUUUGUAAGCUAAAUGUUUAAGGAAAACUUGUCUUUAAAUUCCAUGUCUUUUUAAAAUUCAGUCUUAAUGUUAAUUUAAAGGAUGAAAUGCUAACUUAUGUUACCCAGGGACUAUAAAGCCAAAGUCAUUUGUAUAAACUUAACGUUAAAUUGUAAGUAAAUACUUAACUGCCGUCGUAUGUGUGGAUGAAUGAGUCGCAGUGUAAAGCGCUUUGGAACCGCUAAGGUUAAAGGCGCUAUAUAAGUGCAGACCAUUUUCUUGCACAAAAAAAAAAAAAAAAGGCCAAUUAAAUCUAUAAAAGCUAUGGAUGGUUAAUUUUAAUAAAACAUUUGUUAUUUUCAAAGGCUUUGGAUUUUUUUAUUGUA